AUGUCAUUGAAGAAAAGCAGAAGCAUCAACAUUUCUUUUUAAAAAAUUAGUUUAUUAGUUGAAAGCUUGCUGUUCAGCAUGAGUCUCUUGACUGUUCAGUAGUUCAAGAAAUGCACAAUGCUGCCAUUAACCACAUUUUUAUUCUAUUGGACCAAAUAAGUAAGGAUUUAUAAAUAUUUGAUAUUUAGUGCAGUCUUUCCAAAGUUCAGCGUUAAAGAAAGUAUAAAGUGAGCACAUAAUAUAUGAAAUGAAAAGUUACUUGACAAAUUCCUCUAUGGUCUGUAAAUACAUGUUUGUUGUGAGACUCCCUUAAAAACUGUUCUCUCUCUUCUCAAGCAGGCCCUUCCAAAACAUCAGAGAUAGAGGAAGAAAUUGCUCCUGUAAAAAGUUACACAGAUUCGUCCCAGCAGCAUGGCAUGUCAGAAUUCAGAAUGGAUACUGAGCCAGAAAUCACUAGUGAUGAUGAUGUAGAUGAUGAUGAUGAUGAUGAUGACUAUCCACCCCCUGAAAAGAGACGGAAAAUCUCUGAGCUGGAAAAUCAAGCUUCCAAUAUUGUGGGAAGAACUGCAGAAGAGUUCAGUUUUGAUCCCCCCCAACAUGAGUUGUCAGGACCAAGUGAGAAACCUGAAGUUGAGGUCACGCUUGAAGAUGAUGACGAUGACUACCCCCCCCUAGACAAGAGACAGAAGAGCACGAAGUCGGCUAAUGAAGCUGCCAGUACUCAAAGAAGAGAAGGAAAAGAAUUCAGUUCUGAUUCUUCCCAGCACGACUCGUCAGAAUCAAGUUCGGAUUCUGAGCCCGAAAUCACUACUGAAGAUGAUGAUGAUGAUGAGUACGUGCCUCCUAGCAGGAGACCGAGGAGCAGGCGGUCUAAUCGCGCUUCCAACACUGGGAGAAGGAAAGGAAAACACUCUAGUUCCGAUUCCUCCCAGCAUUACUUCUCAGGAAUAAGUGAGACGCCUGGGCUUGAGGUCACUGUUCAAGGUCAGUUCCUCUGGUGAUUGAUUUCAGUUGCUUGGGCAUUUAUAUAUCCAAAAUGUAUUUUCCAUAACCUACAUUUCUUGGCACUGAAUGAAGAGAAUUGUGUGCCAGUUUUCAGUGUACUUUGGAUUGUGCACUGCUUGGUAAACUAACCUGCUGGAGAAGUAUUGGAAAACCACAAUAUACUGAAGCAUAUUGGACUUAGUUGGCUGUUGUGUGGUUGUUUUAGCAUCGUGCAAUGUCCAGCCAUGUUUCAGAAGACAAUGUUGUCUUCCUUGGGAAGUACAGAUGCAGCUUUGUUUUUUUGCUCUCUUGUGCUUUGCACAAGCCUAUUUGAAGGAACAAGUUGUUCCUUCACAAGUAAGAAGAGGAGCUUUCUGAAUUUUCUCAGGUUAACUAAUUUGUUGCUAAAUUUGGUGUGAGGAUAAGCACAGAUCCUUAUUUCUGUUCGCGUUUUGAAAUUCUCAGCAGUUCCGGUGCUGCACAUGUGUUCCCUGGAUAAGAAAGCAAUUUGAUUUUUUUGUUUCUUUCUUAAAGCUGAUAAUGAUGAUGACGAUGACAACCUACCCCAGGACAUGACAAUAAAUAUGACCUAUUCUGCUAAUGAAGCUGACAAUAGUGGGGGAAGAAAAGUAGAUGCAUUCAGUUCUGGUAAGAUAAAAAUUACAUGCAGUUUUAUCUCCCAGCUUUGUUUUAUUAAAAGGUUUGUGGUUUUUUUGUGCUUCAGGAAUGAGACGUGUUAGUGCCAUCCUUCAUUUAAAAGCCAUGGGCUCUGUGUAGGUGCAUUGCAGCAGUAAAAUCAUCAUCAUGAGCUACCUCUGUUGUUCAUUGUUAAUUGAUGUGACGAAGUAAAUGGACACACAGGACGCUGGGAUUUCCUUGUUGUCUUCUUGCAUGAUCCCU
ensembl:lncRNA